CGACUCCUUUCCCACAGUCCCACAUUAGAACUGGGUCUUUUAAAUUCUGAACUCUGCCAGCAAUUAAAAGUGCAGAUUGGAGGAGCCAGGCGGUGGUGGCGCAUGCCUUUGAUCCCAGCACUGAGAAGGCAGAGGCAGAUUAAAAGAGAGACCAGGAAAGGUCACAGAUUUGAGCAGGUACUGACCAAGAAUGGCUGGGAACCUUGAAGGAAGAAGAAUGAAAGCGUCUACAUCAUACAGCAGUGAUACAGCUGCUGAGGUACCAUUGCUAAUGAGAUUGUCUAGAAUAUACUCCUGAACCUUAAAGCAAUCUUGUUAAAAGACCAAGCUACAGUGUCUGAAGAUAACAUCAUGCAGAUAUGGCAGAUGACUGAAAAUAUUUACAAUGAUGAAGGGUCAGAUGUCACAAUAUCGAACUGGAGGGACAAGGAUCUUAAACUCCAAAAACAUCCAAGUUGGCAACUGUAUAACAUGCAACUACUUAUGUGUGCUAAACUAUCAGUAGGGCAAAUGAAAAGCAGGGCCUCACUAUGUAGCUCUGGCUAUCCUGGAAAUUACUAUAUAGACCAAGCUGGCCUUGAACUCACAGAAAUCUUCGUGCCUCCACCUCCCUAGUGCAGAGAUUAAAGGUCUAUAUCACUACACCUGACUCCAGAAAGGUUUGAUUUCUGAAUGUUGUAUCCAUAUCCUGUUUCUAGCAAAGGUUCUAACUGAAUUUGAAAGUGCUCAUAAAAGUAAGUAGAAAAGAUGUUUUCUUCUCAGGCAAACAGGUUUUUGAGAAAAACAAUAGUAAAGGUUGAUGUAUUUCAUACAGACAAGCUCCACUCUGAAUCACAAGCAGGCAGCACUUCCAGAAGAAGCAGGAGGAUCAAGAGUUACACCCAGCCAAGGUUACAUAUUAAAACACUAUCUCAAAAAAGCCAAGUACAUAGCCAGUCUUGGUGGUAUAAGCCUUUAAUCCCAGCACUCCAGAGGCAGAGCCAGGCAGAUAUCUUUGCAUUAGAGGCCAUCCUGGUCUAUUUAGCAAGUUCCAGGACAGCCAAGGCUACACAUGAGAUGCUGUCUCAACAACAAAAACAAAAACAAAACAAAAAGUAAAGUAAAACUUUCCUUUCUAAAUGACAAGCAAGCUACGGUGAUGCUGCGCACCUGAAAUUCCAGCACUUAGGAGGCAGGAGGAGCAUCUCAAGUCUGAGGCCAGGAUGGUCUGUCUACACAGUGAGUUUCAGGGCAGGUAGGGCUACAUAGCAAACAUCAACCUCAAAAAAACUAUUUUAAAAAAGGCAGGCAGGCAAGGAUAGGCCUGGCAGUGUAGGCCUAUAACACCAGCUCCAAGUACAGGUUUGGCAUGAUUGUAAGCCUGGGCUGUAGAAUGAGUUCAGGUUGAGCCUGGAAACUUAGUGUUCUGUGACACAUGAGUUCCCUAGAGCUUGGAGGCCAGGCACCCUCAUAUGUUCACGUCCCAAUUAGAGACCUCAUGUCAAAAAAACAGGAAGGGGGGCUGGAGAGAUGGCUCAGAGGUUAAGAGCACUGGCUGUUCUCCCAGAGGUCCUGAGUUCAAUUCCCAGCAACCACAUGGUGGCUCACAGCCAUCUAUAAUGGUGCCUUCUUCUGGUAUGCAGGCAUACAUGCAGAUAUUGUAUACAUAAUAAAUAAAUUAAUUUAAAAAAAAAACAGGAAGGAAUGACAAUUGAGGUUGACCUUUGCACACCACCAUGCAUAUAAAAAUGGCUAGGGAUAUAGCUCAGAAAUUCAGAAGCCAAGCUGGGCAUAGUGACCCAUGCCUAUAAUCUCGGCACUCAGGAAGGCAGAGUGAAUUCAAGGCCAGCCUGGUCUACAAAGUGAGUCCAGGACAGCCAAGGCUACACAGAGAAACCCUGUCUCAAAAAAAAAAAAAAAAAUUAUGUCACAGAGAUGGCUCAUAUUACUGUGUAAUCCUGAUGAUUUGCCAUCAAUCCCUAGAACUCAACUGAAAAGUCUGGACACAAUAGCAUAAGCCCAUCCUAGCACUCCUAAAGGUUGAGCCAGAACUUCAUGGCCAGCUAGCUUAGAGUACAACAUAUAUCAAGAACAGCAAGGCAGAUUCUGCCUCAACAAGGUAGAAGAGCUGACUCAAGAGAAUGGCUCUAAUCUCCACACUCAUAUACAUGCAGGAGUGCAAGCACACAGAGAAUCCAGGCCUGGCAUGUCCAAGGCCCUGGGUUCAUUCAAUCCUCAGUACUGCUUUCCUCUCCCUCAAAAAAAAAAAAAGAGAAUCAAGUAAGCAAGCCACUGCCAACUAUUUGUAUGCACCAAGGAAGAUCUAGCUGAUUGGAUUAGAGUCUGUGCCAGGCACUGGCAAACACCUUAACAUCGAUCUGAAAAGACUGGAAAGAUUCAGAAGAAUCUAGAAUUGUGAAUCAAAGUGACUCUGGCCAGAAGAUGAACAAGUGUGGAUUUCUUCAGUAUAACUGGUGUGUGCCUGUUCUUAGACAUCAGGUAUCAGUGGGUUUUUGUUUUGUGCUGUUGGGGAUGGGAGGGCUCCUUUAAGCCAUUCUUUACAAAAGUAGAGUAGAUCCUAAAGGUCUCAAGUUUGAACCUGCAACAGAAUCCCUGGAAGUUUGUUAACACAAAUUACUGGGCCCUCCUUUGAGAGCCUGAUUCAGCAGGUUUAGAGUAGGGCCUUUAAAGUGUGCAUUUCUAACAAGUCGCAGGGAGAC